rnacentral:lncRNA from 1 species
CAUCUUUAAAGGUGUCAUGGCGCACAAUCACCGCAGGAACGGUUUGAACUGUGUUUGUAACCCGGCUCCGAAUCUGUCUGAGAACGAAUUCACGGACACCGGCCCAGGGCGGGCCACGGUUCAAUGCCCAGCUUCGGUCUACGGCCACUGGGUCCUGCUACAAGCCGUUGUCCCGGACCAGCAUUUCCAAGCUCCCUACGACCGGCCAGCAGCGCUCUGCUGCGGCUACAAGUGCUCCAUGUCCCCGCUGAGCUCCAGCCCCGGGAUGGAGGCUAGAGCUGCAGACGUGACUCGGCUGUUGUACCUGGAGAGGUCUGUGUUGGAGCUGGUGUCUGCUCAUUGGUACCUGGAGCUGACCAACUCUAAACUGCUGGGCUGGUACCUGGCCCUGCCCCCGGGGGACAGGAGAAUCAUCCUGAGUAACACACACGCGCACGCACACGCACGCUAGGGCUGGGCAAUGUGGACCAAAACUUAUAUAUCAAUAUUUAUUCUCAGAAUGGCGAUAUACAAUAUAAAUCUUGUUUAUUUUUUAUUUCAUGUAAAGUCUGACCUGAAAUAUAAAUCUGGGUUAAAUUUGAUUAUCCAAAUGCCACACAGACACAUUUAUGAACAAAAACAGCUGCACAAUAUGUAACACUUGAGUCUGUUUCUCCUCUAAGAGACAGCACGUGUGAGUGAGUUGUGUAGUGUGGUUUGUUUAGGUGAAGGUCUGAGUUAGGACACACUCAGAAAUCCAUCA